UACGGAGGGUGCAAGCGUUGUUCGGAAUUAUUGGGCGUAAAGCGCGUGUAGGCGGAUAUAUGGGUCUAAUGUGAAAUACCUUGGCUCAACUGAGGAAGUGCAUUUGAAACUAUAUAUCUUGAGUACGACAGAGGAGAGUGGAAUUCCCAGUGUAGAGGUGAAAUUCAUAGAUAUUGGGAAGAACAUCGGUGGCGAAGGCGGCUCUCUGGGUCGAUACUGACGCUGAGACGCGAAAGCGUGGGGAG
rnacentral:rRNA from 1 species